rnacentral:misc_RNA from 1 species
UAAUAAGUGUUUUAUGGCACUUUUAAAUCCAUAUCCACCUUGUGUGCAAUGUCAGUCGAUCUUCUUCACGGAGAUCGACCAACGUCACCUUUAUCUUUUAACCUCUUUUCUGAAAAUAUUAUGAAUAAACAAUUCAAAAUA